rnacentral:rRNA from 1 species
UACAGAGGGUGCAAGCGUUGUUCGGAAUCAUUGGGCGUAAAGGGCGCGUAGGCGGUCUCACCAGUCGAAUGUGAAAGCCCAGGGCUCAACCUUGGAAGUGCAUUCGAUACUAGGAGACUUGAGUCUCGGAGAGGGUGGUGGAAUUCCCAGUGUAGAGGUGAAAUUCGUAGAUAUUGGGAGGAACACCGGUGGCGAAGGCGACCACCUGGACGAAGACUGACGCUGAGGCGCGAAAGCGUGGGGAGCAAACAGG